GGGCUGUGUCCACCAUGGCCUGGACCCCUCUCCUCCUCGUGCUCCUCUCUCACUGCACAGGUUCCCUCUCCCAGCCUGUGGUUACCCAGUCGCCCUCCCUCUCUGCAUCCCUGGGAUCCUCUGUGAGACUCCCCUGCACCCUCAGCAGUGGUAUCAAUGUUGGUGGCUACCACAUACACUGGUACCAGCAGAAGCCAGGGAGCCCUCCCCGGUAUCUCCUGUACUACUACUCAGACUCAAACAAGCACCAGGGCUCUGGGGUCCCCAGCCGCUUCUCUGGAUCCAAAGACACCUCGGCCAAUGCAGGCCUUUUGCUCAUCUCUGGGCUCCAGGCUGAAGAUGAGGCUGACUAUUACUGUGCCAUCUGGCACAGCGGUGCUGCUCACAGUCACACAGGCCAAUGGGGAACUGUGCCCCCGGCCACUGAACGAGACCACCAGGUAAGGCUGCCUCUGGGUCGGCCAGAGGGGGCUGUGGUGGUAGUGGGGAAGCCAGAGACGAAGGCGGGCCUCAGCUAG